UACAGAGGGUGCGAGCGUUAAUCGGAAUUACUGGGCGUAAAGCGUGCGUAGACGGUUAUUUAAGUCGGGUGUGAAAGCCCCGGGCUCAACCCGGGAAUUGCAUUCGAGACUGAAUAGCUAGGGUACGGUAGAGGGAAGUGGAAUUUCCGGUGUAGCGGUGAAAUGCGUAGAUAUCGGAAGGAACAUCAGUGGCGAAAGCGACUUCCUGGACCAGUACCGACGUUCAGGCACGAAAGCGUGGGGAGCAAACAGG
rnacentral:rRNA from 1 species